AGGAAAGAGCCUACAAUCACUAUGGAUUGAGAAAUGCUCUCUGUCUGCAGAGGGACUCCUUGUCUCAGAUAACAUGCGUGUAUAUGCUUAGUCUGCUUCCCUCAUCUUCAAACACUGCCCCAAAUCAGAGAAUUCAAUUUUUUCAUGAUUCACCAGUCAGAAGACUUGAGCAAGCUUUGGAAAGCACACUGGAUCCCAGGAACCCACUGGGCUGAAGAUCACUGCAUUUCUGUGCCCCCUCACAUGUACCACCACCCUGAAAGACUGCACAGAUGCAGACCAUCAUCACCACACUCUGUUUACUCUCACAGUCUUUAGGAAUCAUGUCUUUAGAGUACUGUUAGAAAUAGAGCAGUUUUCCCUUCACUUGCAGCCCCCACUCCCAGCUCUGUGUACUCAGCUUACCUGCAGACACACAGCAAACAUUACAUCUUUGAGUCUCCUCCUCCUUGUUUUUCCCUCUGCAUAACCUUUUUGCCUCUUCAGCAGUAGCACAGUGUUUCUGGCUACAGUAAAUAUCACUGUUUCUAAAGCAUUUUUACUAUUUGUCUAGCUUUUGGCCAAGGAGACCACAAUCCUUUCUCCCAGUCUAACACCAAAACUUAACUCAAAGCAGUGGCAAUGAUUUUACUUCUGAGUUGGACCUACAACAACCAGAAAAACAGCAAAAAUAUGUGUUGCAUCAGGCAUUGCAUUCAGAGCCCAGAAGAAUUAAUAUAGUUGUCAUAACUGGGAGAAAAAAAUCCCACAAGGCUGAAUGUGGACACACACAGCUGAACGCAGCACACACACAAACACAGAUUUUUAUGAGCAGUGCCGUCAGCAAGGAGAUUGUUUAUAGUAGCCGGUAAUUUAUAGCUUUUAAAUGUAAUGUUGGAAUGCAAAUAGCUUUCCCCGUUCCCUUCCCUCAGUGAUCUGCUCAUGAAUAAGGCUGAAAGGAGCCCGAGCAGGAGACACAACCAGGGAGGAAGAGGAGACAGAGAAUGAAUCAGCCUGCCCCCGCUUUCUCCCAGCCCCUGGAAAUGUCACCGGCUGCCCAUGGGAUCAGUUCCCAGCCCAGCAUGAGGACGCGGUGCACAGCUAUGUGUGACAUGACACUUAACAUCUCCCAUCCCAGGCAACCAAGUAGGAAUACUGCUCAGCCUACCGUGAGCAAAAAUGUAUGAAAUGGCAUUAGGCAAAAACAAGAUUUCUGGGGAUUACAACAGGAAUACAAGGUUUUUGCUUUCCCUGUAGGGUAAAUGACCAUCCCAACGCUCCCCUCUUUUUUUCUCCUACCUUUUCACAUCAGUAGGGAAGGACAAGAUAUUUUCAAUUGUCUUUCUGUGCCUUCAGUGCCAUUCAACAUCAGAGCUGCUGAAGUCACUUUUGUCACUGUUUGUAGCAAUGAACUGCUACAGUUCAUUGGUAAUAUUGGGAAAAGUGCUUCCUCUUUACAUAAUUCAUCUGAUUAAAAAAAAUUUUCAAGUGGGUUUUGAUGGACAGCAAUCAGUCUUUGACCAGCCUCAAGAAAAGAGCAAAAUUAAAACAAUUAUUUUGGAUGUUAAUCUCCGCUAGGGUUUGAUUUUGAAAGCUUAGAGGAAGAUCUAUGAAAUAAUAUGAAGUUCAGCAAGUUACUGUAGUGUUUGUACUCACAGUGCAAACAAACAAAAAAGUUUACAUUCAGAGCUUUUUACCUCCCUUCUAUUGUGUUUUCACUUUUUUUUUUUUCUUCUCCUCCCAAUGGCAAAGUUUGCAUUUAUUAAUAUCUACGGUAAGUUACAGUUUGGGCUUCAAAAAUGUUUUGGGGUUCUGCAGGUGAAAAGGCGGGAAGGAGCUAGCUUGUUUGAUAUUUAUGAAUAAACAUUGAGAAAGUGUCUGCCUCACCUCUCACACUGUUGAAUAACAAAAGGAAAUGAAAGAGUUUAUGGUCCCAGGCAGAUGUGAACAAAGCUAUAAGAUUGAUCCCAGGCAAAGACAGCUCACUUGGCAAACACUUGAGUCCUCAGCAUCUCAGAGAAACUUUGAGCAUCUUAGAGAAGAAUUAUGGGGCACUAAUAGUAGGGAACAAAAACAAAUAAACAAACAAAGAUAGCAGGUGUUUCCAAAUGCUUAAAAAUGAACUAUAUUAUGAUCUUCAUUUAAAAGCCACAAAAACAGUGAGAGGUGUUUUGGUGUGCAAACUGAUCACAUUUUUCAGCUUCCUCUCACCACCUCUGCAGACAAGAAAAUCCCACUGUAUUUUGAAGGGGACGCUGAGGUUUUAAGGUGCUCACAUCAUUGUGGAGUGGGAGUUUUGAAGAAAAGCAUUAAUAUCACAGCAACUGGAAGCGCUGGGAAAGAGAUCUGCAAGGCAAGCAGCUGCUGGGUGGUGAAGGGCAUGGAGAAGGCUGACAGAGUCUGAAGUGAGACACUUCAGGAUCGUCAUAGCCUGACAAUAGGUGAGGGAAUGUUUUUAAAGUCAAGGCAAUCAAAGCAAAGCAUGUCUCUUGUGAGAAGAUUUCCCUGAUGUUGCUUUGCCCACCACUACCAAGGCUGUCAUCUCUGCAGUCAUGGAUUACAUCGGUUGCUUUGUGCCUGGGAGAACAAUCAAAAAAUCUUUCCUUGGAGAGGAAAUCCAGUCCUGUUGGACUGGAUGGGAUUUUUGUUGCUGGCACUGGUGGGAGCAGGAUUACAGCCUUAGACCCAGCCUUCAUCCUACCCAAGUCUCAGGAAGAAGUGUCUGUCAUCUUCAGCAGGUCAGACUGCUUUGUGAGGGGGCUUCGGUAAAAUGUAGUCCUGUUCCUAGACAGUGUAAAACCGGGCUCUCCGCCUAACACAAGUACAGUAACAAUAACACUAAUGGAUGAAGGCACAAGAACAUUUUCCCCAGUAAAACAUGGGUUUCCUCUGUGCCUUCAUAGGCUCAGGCAGCUUUCAUUACACUGUCAGCACAGCCCAUCCUUUCAAAGCAGCUCAAGAUGAAGAAGCACCAUGAGAUUUUGCGUGCAAAUGAGCCUAUCCACAACAUUUUACAAACCACAGUGGAGAGGAACAACAGAAUUCCUGUUUCAUGUAACACAUACCAUGAAACAACAGCCAGAGCAGGUUGUUUCCCUGUUGUAAUGCCAUCACUUAGUAUUGGCCCCUUCAGUACACGUCCAUCCUCUGCCAAAUUCAAGGCACACGUGCCCAUCUGAGUGCCAUGGAGGUGCCCUGGGCUGCAAUUUUCUGGCGGCACAUCCCCAUAAGCAUCAUGGAUCUGUCCUUUCCCAAGGCUUCCUGGGCUGCUUUUGCCUCCCUCCACCCUCAUACAGCCAUGAAAAGCCAAAAGCAGGUCUUCACCCUUUCAGGACACAUCACAAUUUUUCAUUCAGUAAUCCUCCUUUUGUGUCUGGGGAGCGGUCACCUGAGGCUGCUGUCCCCAUGGGAGAAAGGAGGGAGCUGCUCAGCAACCAGCACAGGUUUGCCCCAGGGGACAUCCCAGGCAGCUGUUUGCAUGUUUAGGUUUACAGAGCUGCUCCUCAAAGCUUGUACGAGGGAGUGUAACACAAGGAAUCACUUGCCCUUCAUUCAGUUAUUAAAACCUCUAAUGUCCCUUAAAAUAUAGUAAAGGUUUUCUGCUCAGAUUAGUGUAAGUAUCACACAAACACAAGCAAAACAUAACUACCUGGGAUCUGUAACAGCUUCAUUGUCUGCUACUGGAUGCCAGGUUUUGAGCUGAAGGCUGCUUCACUGUGCAGUGGGUAUCUGCAGCAUACAGUGACCCAGCUCUUUGCCUUCCACAUCGGAGAGUGCCCCUGAUGGAGCUGAAGAGAACUUUUUACAUAUUUACGGUACUCACCAAUUCAUUAAUUCAUUAAAGUUGCAUUUUAUUGAACAGUAAGUACAUUCUAUCUAGCAAAUAAAAAAAUUAGUGCAAUGAUUAUCUUGAAAAAUGCUGUGAUACACUUCAUUUGGAUAAUUUAGAGCUGUCACCAUUUGCUAAAAAGAGCCAAAUGACCACAUUUAUAGUAGAAACAAUCCUGAAUUACAGUUAAUAUAGUUUCUGCAACAGCAGUUCUCUGAAAAGUGACUGCACAUUUAUGGAAGUUUAUUAAAGGGUUUAUCUCCUUUUUAAAAAUGUUCAAAUUGAAAGUGUCCUUAUUUGUUUGGACCUGUAUUUCUUGGCAAUAUUUCACAUUCUUCAACUACUUUGCUUUCAGGGUCUUUAUGAAAUUAUUAGCAUCCAAAGCAAGGCACAAAUACUGCACCACCUCCACAGACAUCAUAUGUCAGAAGACAGUUUCCUGUAGAAAUAGACAGCAUGCAGACUGGGGCUGGACUGAGCAGACGGAAUGAAGCUAAAUAAACCAAAUGAAAUGUGUCAUUUGCCACAGUGAAAAUUUUAAGUAUGCAUUUGUUCAUUUUUAAUUACAGAGACAGUAGAAACCAUGCCAUUCAGCAGAGACAAAUUAGGCUUCAGAUGGAAAGCAUAAUUCAGGCCAAGUGAGUAGCUGAAGAAAAAAAAUGGUAUAACUAAAUAUUGCUAGUUGCUUUCUUAAGACUCAAGUUUAUGGGAGCUGGGUUGAGAUCCUACCCAGGAAGGAACAAAACUUAGCAUUUUUCCUGAAUGUUUGUGUGUGAGAGGUUUUCAGAUCCCCAUACAAUCUGUUGCAGUCCCCAUUUUGAUGCCUUCCUGCACAGCACCGCAAGCUGUUUUACGCUCAAAAGACUGCAAAACACCAUGGUCCUGGUUUGCGGCAAACAAGCACAUUUGUAGAAAUAUUCAGGGUAGGAUCCUCCGCUUUCUUUCUUCAUUUCUUUACUUGUCAGUGUAUUCUGCUCACAAUUAACACUGAUGCUGCUGUCGGCAGAAUAUGCUGACAAUCAUUACAGCUUCAGCACUGAAAACAAUUUCAAAUUUCCUGAGGAAAAAAAAAAAAAUACAUAAAUCACUCCUAAACAGAAAGCAAUAUUCAUUGGAAAAGUCAAUAUAUGUCAGGAUAUAACCGUGCAACAAAUACUAUUAAAAAUAUUUUCUUUUCCAGUGAGCAAAAUGAUUUUGUUAUUGUAUAUUUGUUAGCAAUCUUGAACAGAAAUGCAGUAUAUUGUAUGGUCGCAAUGAUAAAGGUUGACGUCAGUUUUAAAAUCCCCCUUGGCACUAAUAGAGGAAUGGAAGUAGCUUAGUUUCUGCUCAGCAUUUUACAGCUUGUUCAUCAGUACGGCAAAUCCUCCUGAACAACCACCACCACAAACUCUGGGAUUGCUCAGCGAACUGCAGAGCGCAGUUGCAGCCUGCUCGGCGUCAGUUUGGCAUUGAGUCCUUUGCAAGAUAAACUGAACAUGCAUUUCUCUGCUGGCUUAGGAUAUUGUUUGGGUGGAAAUGCGUCACUGUCUAGGGGCUCUUGAGGCAAAGCGGGAUGUGGCAACUGGGGGACAGACAUCUCGUUUGGCACUCGGCGCGCUAUGAAUACGGGGAAAUAUUUGCGUGGGGAAGGGAACGGCGAAAUGUUUGAUGGCUGUGCUGGGCAAAACCGCCCCGUCCCUCUGCUGUGCCCCCCCGUCUGCGAGGGACCCGCGGCCGCUCCGCUCCCGAGCCUCCCAGAUCCGUCCCCAGCCCCUUCUCCUCCCUGGGCCCCGGCCCGGCCCUGCCGGCGGUGUCGCAGCGCCGCCACGCGGCCCCCGGCCCCGAUAUGACGCCAAAUGGCGCCCCGCUGGGCCGUGACGUCAUCCGGCCUCUCCAUGACGUCACGGCCCCCGCUCCUUUGGCAGGGGAUGCCUUGAACCCUGCCCUGCGCCUGGCACACGCUGCGUUUUGGCAGGACGAGUUUGAGGCGCACCCAACGCACUCCCCCAGCACCAUGAGGCAUCUCCCAUCGCUCCCCGGCACCUUCCCGCAUGGCCAAACCACCCCAGAGAGCCCGGCCUGGGCCAUGGCACAAAGACACCGCCCGCAGAGCCACCACCGCCCCGUCAUGGGGAGCCAUCAGCCGAGAAAUCCUCCGGGGCCAGCUCGGUCGCGGUUGGCCGGUCAUCGGCGUGUUGCUGUUCGGCUGCCUCCGUGCUGCCCAGGACAUGAAGCAAAUGAAGCCUGGCUGUCGCCCAGAUGAUCCGCGAUGUUGCGACCAGAUGGAACGUGGCUUACAACAUGUGUAGAUGCCUGCUGGACAAUAAACAGGCUUUUGCUGGCUUUUGCUCUGGUGAACUCGAGGGGGUUACUGGCGGGUUAAAACAAUCAUGGCCCUCAAAAGAUUUCUUUU